rnacentral:rRNA from 1 species
UACGUAGGGUGCGAGCGUUGUCCGGAAUUAUUGGGCGUAAAGAGCUUGUAGGUGGUUUGUCGCGUCUGCCUGUGAAAAUCCGAGGCUCAACCUCGGACUUGCAGUGGGUACGGGCAGACUAGAGUGUGGUAGGGGAGACUGGAAUUCCUGGUGUAGCGGUGGAAUGCGCAGAUAUCAGGAGGAACACCGAUGGCGAAGGCAGGUCUCUGG